rnacentral:lncRNA from 1 species
UUUGAAACAACUGACAAGAAACUGUAGGUUGGAAAUCAGAACAGCUGUGGGCUCCUCAACGCAGCAGAUGGGAUAUGCUCCUGGAGGGCCACUUCUGUCAAAGACACCAACCUGCUGGAUGCCAGGCUGAAGAGCCAUGAGGACCUGACUUUGUUCUUAGUGCUGUGUAUGUAGUAAGGUGUUUGGUGAAG